AUCAUGCAAGUCGAGCGACUGAUUAGAAGCUUGCUUCUAUGACGUUAGCGGCGGACGGGUGAGUAACACGUGGGCAACCUGCCUGUAAGACUGGGAUAACUUCGGGAAACCGAAGCUAAUACCGGAUAGGAUCUUCUCCUUCAUGGGAGAUGAUUGAAAGAUGGUUUCGGCUAUCACUUACAGAUGGGCCCGCGGUGCAUUAGCUAGUUGGUGAGGUAACGGCUCACCAAGGCAACGAUGCAUAGCCGACCUGAGAGGGUGAUCGGCCACACUGGGACUGAGACACGGCCCAGACUCCUACGGGAGGCAGCAGUAGGGAAUCUUCCGCAAUGGACGAAAGUCUGACGGAGCAACGCCGCGUGAGUGAUGAAGGCUUUCGGGUCGUAAAACUCUGUUGUUA
rnacentral:rRNA from 2 species